AGGAUUCCCCUAGGACUGCGAGUGAAGCGGGAAAAGCUCAAAUUUAAAAUCUGGCGGUCUUUUGGCUGUCCGAAUUGUAAUCUGGAGAAGCGUUUUCCGCGUCGGACCGUGUAUAAGUUCUCCUGGAAUGGAGCGUCAUAGAGGGUGAGAAUCCCGUCUUUGACACGGACCACCGAUGCUUUUGUGAUGCGCUCUCAAAGAGUCGAGUUGUUUGGGAAUGCAGCUCAAAAUGGGUGGUAAAUUCCAUCUAAAGCUAAAUACAGGCGAGAGACCGAUAGCGAACAAGUACCGUGAGGGAAAGAUGAAAAGCACUUUGGAAAGAGAGUUAAACAGUACGUGAAAUUGUUGAAAGGGAAACGCUUGAAGUCAGUCGCGUUGUCCGGGGAUCAACCUUGCUUUGGCUUGGUGUACUUCCCGGUGAACGGGUCAGCAUCAAUUUUGAUCGUUGGAUAAAGUCUAGUUGAAUGUGGCAUCCCUUGGGGUGUGUUAUAGCUUCUAGUCGCAUACAACGGUUGGGAUUGAGGAACUCAGCACGCCUUUAUGGUCGGGGUUCUCCCACGUAACGUGCUUAGGAUGCUGGCGUAAUGGCUUUAAACGACCCGUCUUGAAACACGGACCAAGGAGUCUAACAUGCCCGCGAGUGUUUGGGUGGAAAACCCGGACGCGUAAUGAAAGUGAAAGUUGAGACCUCUGUCGUGGAGGGCAUCGACGCCCGGACCAGACCUUCUGUGACGGAUCCGCGGUAGAGCGUGUAUGUUGGGACCCGAAAGAUGGUGAACUAUGCCUGAAUAGGGUGAAGCCAGAGGAAACUCUGGUGGAGGCUC
rnacentral:rRNA from 2 species